CGAACAUCGGUCAAUUCCAAACGAAAGAGCAUACUUUUUUCUAUAUAAUGGCAUAUUCUUAUAGAUUUUUUCUAAAUAUUUAAAAUUUUAUGAGGAAUAUAGUCAAAAUUUUAGUAUCGUUCGUUAUCGAAUUUUCACGGUUUUUUCAAUACUAAAUUGAAAAAAAGUGAUACUUCUAAGCCGAAUUUCGAACAUCGGUCAAUUCCAAACGAAAGAGCAUACUAUUUUCUAUAUAAUGGCAUAUUCUUUAGAGACUUUUUCUAAAUAGUUAAAAUUUUAUGAGG